UAGCAGUCUCUGGAUAUGUGGCCAGA
rnacentral:piRNA from 1 species